UAGAGUUUGAUCCUGGCUCAGAGCGAACGCUGGCGGCAGGCUUAACACAUGCAAGUCGAGCGGGCGUAGCAAUACGUCAGCGGCAGACGGGUGAGUAACGCGUUGUGGAACGUACCUUUUGGUUCGGAACAACUGAGGGAAACUUCAGCUAAUACCGGAUAAGCCCUUACGGGGAAAGAUUUAUCGCCGAAAGAUCGGCCCGCGUCUGAUUAGCUAGUUGGUGAGGUAACGGCUCACCAAGGCGACGAUCAGUAGCUGGUCUGAGAGGAUGAUCAGCCACAUUGGGACUGAGACACGGCCCAAACUCCUACGGGAGGCAGCAGUGGGGAAUAUUGGACAAUGGGCGAAAGCCUGAUCCAGCCAUGCCGCGUGAGUGAUGAAGGCCCUAGGGUUGUAAAGCUCUUUUGUGCGGGAAGAUAAUGACGGUACCGCAAGAAUAAGCCCCGGCUAACUUCGUGCCAGCAGCCGCGGUAAUACGAAGGGGGCUAGCGUUGCUCGGAAUCACUGGGCGUAAAGGGUGCGUAGGCGGGUCUUUAAGUCAGAGGUGAAAUCCUGGAGCUCAACUCCAGAACUGCCUUUGAUACUGAGGAUCUUGAGUUCGGGAGAGGUGAGUGGAACUGCGAGUGUAGAGGUGAAAUUCGUAGAUAUUCGCAAGAACACCAGUGGCGAAGGCGGCUCACUGGCCCGAUACUGACGCUGAGGCACGAAAGCGUGGGGAGCAAACAGGAUUAGAUACCCUGGUAGUCCACGCCGUAAACGAUGAAUGCCAGCCGUUGGGGAGUUUACUCUUCAGUGGCGCAGCUAACGCUUUAAGCAUUCCGCCUGGGGAGUACNGUCGCAAGAUUA
rnacentral:rRNA from 1 species